GACGAACGCUGGCGGCGUGCUUAACACAUGCAAGUCGAGCGGUAACGCCUUUCGGGGUACCCGCCCGGCGAACGGGUGAGUAACACGUGGGUGAUCUGCCCUGCACUUCGGGAUAAGCCUGGGAAACUGGGUCUAAUACCGGAUAUGACCUCCUAUCGCAUGGUGGGUGGUGGAAAGAUUUAUCGGUGCAGGAUGGGCCCGCGGCCUAUCAGCUUGUUGGUGGGGUCAUGGCCUACCAAGGCCACGACGGGUAGCCGACCUGAGAGGGUGACCGGCCACACGGGGACUGAGACACGGCCCAGAGUCGUGAGGGAGGCAGAAGUGGGGGAUAUUGCACAAUGGGCGAAAGCCGGAUGCAGCGAGGCCGCGUGAGGGGUGACGGCCUGCGGGUUGGAGACGUCAUUCAGCAGGGACGAAGGGCAAGUGACGGUACCUGAAGAAGAAGCACCGGCUAACUACGUG
rnacentral:rRNA from 1 species